AUUGAACGCUGGCGGCAGGCUUAACACAUGCAAGUCGAGCGGAGCGGCGGACGGGUGAGGAAUUCCUAGGAAUCUGCCUGGUAGUGGGGGAGAACGUCCGGAAACGGGCGCUAAUUACGCCUCCUAUCAGAUUAGCCUAGGUCGGAUUAGCUAGUGGGUGGGGUAAAGGCCUACCAAGGCGACGAUCCGUAACUGGCCUGAGAGGAUGAUCAGUCACAUGGGAACUGGAACACGGUCCAGACUCCUACGGGAGGCAGCAGUGGGGAAUAUUGGACAAUGGGCGAAAGCCUGAUCCAGACAUGCCGCGUGUGUGAAGAAGGUCUUCGGAUUGUAAAGCCCUUUAAGUUGGGAGGCGGUACCAACAGAAUAAGCACCGGCUAACUUCGUGCCAGCAGCCGCGGUAAUAC
rnacentral:rRNA from 1 species